rnacentral:snRNA from 1 species
UGUAAGGGCGAUUUGCUUGCAACAUCUGUCAUCCACAUUGUCUGGCUACAACAUCUGUCACCCCAGGGAAGCUCCAGUCAAUUGGCCAGUCUGCUCCCCUCCUCCCUCACAGCACUCUGCAUCCCUCCCAAAGGCAAGCCCUCCAUGAUCUUGUCUGUAGAGGAGGACUGUCCUUUGGUCAAGAGUAACUGCACUCCCCUGCUACAACCUCCAAAUAAAUUCUCAACACUAACGCUUGCCUUUGGGAGGGAGGGCUGUGUAAGAGAUUAGGAAAAGUUACACAGGGGAGUUGACCUUGUACACAGCCUUUGUGU